rnacentral:misc_RNA from 1 species
CUUUCCUGUGUUGGUAAUUUGCAUAGAGAAGAGCAAAAUUAGUUUCCCUUGUUGGUUACUUCUUCCAAGGUUUCAAAAUAGAAAGCACAAUGAUAAUGGCAAUAAUCAAAAGCAAAAGAAUGGAAAUCAUCAUGCAUUUCCUGGAUUUCUUUUGCAAGCUCUUUGCAGUUCUAAGAGCAUCUGUACCACUUUGAACAUGAUCCACUGCAUUUGUCACCUGACUUUCAAUGUUAUCUAA